UACAGAGGGUGCAAACGUUGUUCGGAAUUACUGGGCGUAAAGCGUGUGUAGGCGGCCUCGUAGGUCGGAUGUGAAAGCUCUCGGCUCAACCGGGAAAGUGCAAUCGAAACCACGAGGCUUGAGUGUCGGGGAGGAAGGCGGAAUUGUCGGUGUAGAGGUGAAAUUCGUAGAUAUCGACAAGAACACCAGCGGCGAAAGCGGCCGUCUGGACGAACACUGACGCUGAGACACGAAAGCGUGGGGAGCAAACAGG
rnacentral:rRNA from 1 species